rfam:Oribacterium sp. oral taxon 078 str. F0262 genomic scaffold Scfld7, whole genome shotgun sequence.
UCUGGUGUUGAUGCGCCGGGGGGAAACACCCGUACCCAUCCCGAACACGACGGUUAAGCCCCGGGCGGCUGAAAAUACUACGCUGGCAACGGCGUGGGAAGAUAAGUGGAUGCCAGAC